GCCAGCUUCCCCAGAUCCCCACCAGUCCCCAGGGAUCUGUUCAGGGGGGAGGAGGGGAAACAGGAGGAGAUGGGGGAGGUGGAGGAGGUGGUGGUGGUGGAGGAGGAGGAGUAGGAGUAGGAGGAGGAGGAGGAGGAGGAGGAGGAGGAGGGGAGGCUCGAGACCACACCUACACCGAGGUAGGCAUACGGAACAACCCCACCCCCACCCACGCCCUGGAUGACGGCCUGUAUGAAAGCGUAGGUGUCCGGGAAGGUGACUCAGGCCCCAAAGUCCCAUCUGCCCCGCCGGCCACAUCAAACAACACUCCGGCUCCAAUCAGAGCUGCCCAAAGCCCCCCUGCUCAGGCCAACGGAGCGCGCAGUGGGAACGGGCACGUGAAUGGCGGCAGAGGGAACGGCAGAGGGAAUGGCGCCAUUAACGGGCCGAUGACAGGAAGAGCUAAUGGUGCGAGUGGGGUCAACAGAUCCCCUCUGUCUUCUGUCAACUCCCUCGCCAUCCAAGAUCCAACUGCAGCUGAGUAUGCUUCCAUACGGAAGUUCAGAAAGGUCGACAAGACAAACAGGAAGGAAAAUAACGGGGCCGACAGCCAUUCAGACCAAUCGAGUGUGAGUGAUUCUCCCUCUACAGCUCCUCCUCCACUACAUCGCAGUCAGGAGUUUCCGCGCAAAGGACUGGAGCCGUUUCAGCUGCACUCCUUCCCAAAGGAGGCAGUGUUCAUGGGCAACGGGGAGCAGUACAUCUGGAAGCCUCCAGAGGAAGAUGACAUCAUCACCUUGCACCCUCCUCCACUCCGCGCAGAGAGUGUACAGGGGCACCCUUUGCCCCCGACUGCAAAGGAGAUUGCAGACACCUACUCCAUUGUGUGUAAAACCCAGAAGAAGAAACCUCCCAUGGAAAACAACGGAUCAAAGACCCUCCCACGCUCCUUUGGUGGAGAGAGAGGUUCCAGGGGCCGAGGCCGAGGAGUUCAGGUCCAGGCGCGUUCCCAGGAGGAGCCCUGCUAUGAGCCAGUAGGAGACAGGUCCUGGCCCGCAUGUGCAAUGGCGGAGUCUGACCCUGCGUACGCUACUAUCGACACCCACCGGAAACGGGAGCAGGCGGGAACCAAUAACAACACAGUUGGGGGUUCUGCCACUCUGAAGAGGAAGAAGCAAACGCCGCAGCCGGCUGCACCAACGGCACCAGCUGUGCCAGCUCCACCAGCUCCACCAGCUGCACCAGCUGCACCAGCUGCACCAGCGGCACCAGUGGCACCAGCUGCACCAGUGGCACCAGCUGCACCUCAUGGCUCAGGACCCACCGCCCUGCCUGCUAGAGGCCUGCCUGGUGGGGAAAACUUCUAUGAGACCAUCAGCGAUGUGAAACAAGGGGGCAACAGCUCCAGCACCACCACCAUCUUCACCUUCAAUGAUGGGAUGGAGAUGUACGUCACCGGCCUGUAGCUGGCUGACAGUUAGAAAGGGCCCAGAACCCACCGGUACAGAGUCAUAAGAAGGACCCUCCUGUUAACCGGCCAACAAGUUGCUGUACAUACAUACAAGGCCCUCUAUAGACAAACAACAUGAGGAUCCAUUUUGUGAUGACAUCAGGUACAAACAGGGUCUUAAUCCAGGUUCAGACUUCCUUUGAUUGGUCUGUACUUCAGAACCAGCCUAAGCCUAGUCCAGCCCAAAUAUGGACCAAAUAUGUUUAAACAAAAAAAAAAAAAAAGAUGAAGAAAACUGGAAUCUUCAACCUACUGUGUCACUGACCAUACUCACCUGUUUGUGCAUCAUUUUCCAUAAUAUCUUUAUUUUUAUAUGAACACUGUACUCUUUUAAAGAGUAUGUGGUGUAACUCACAUUCUGAGAAAAACACACUUUAAUAUAUAUAUAUUUAAAAAAUAAUGUAUGUGCAUGCAUUGUGCAAAUACACACCUGAAAAUAGACGGUAGUAGCAAGGAAUAUUGUAUAUCUGGAGUAGGAGGCACACUGUUAGCUAUUGUAACUCAUAUACACACACACAUAUGCCUCAUCUUGGAGGGACUUAAGUAAUAUAAGCAGACAGAUGUCACAGAGAUUUGUGGUGCUUAGCUCUCCCUAAGCAAACAUCUGAAACAGGUUCUCUGGGCGUUAUGGCCUGUUGCCUUGCCGACAGCAUUGUGGUGCUUUGUUCAAACACAGAUGUAAGUGAAGGCUAUCGUCCCCAUUUCACAAACGAUCAUCAAUGUGCCCUACAUUUAUCAGCAGUUAUCAAUAACAGCCCUCAUUAAAACUAUAAAAGUGAGUUUUGUUAAAAAAUGUAACCACCAGUCUCUGAUCUGACAUCUGUACCCAGAGGCAUGAUGACACACCUCAACACACCCCCACACAGAUACACACAUACUUGGCAAAAUCAUUGCGGGGUAAGUCAAGGUCAGGGUCACUGAGUGGGUUGUGCAAGAACUUCCCCAGAGUGAUAUAGGUGACCCAUUUCACAAUGCGAAACUUUUACUGUAUUAUUGGGAAAAAUUAGAGAACAAUAUUUUUUAAAAUAAGGAAGUGAAAGAGUGUCCAAAAUAUUACAGGAUGUUUCAUUCUGUGUAGUUAAUAAUAUGUCAUGUCCUUUGGGCACUGUAACAUCUCAUUUUAUGACCAUUAUAAUUUUGCACUUGACAGCUGCAGGGGUGUUUGGUUUAAUUGCUCAUUAACAUGCUGUAAAGGGCAUUUCCGAGUACAGUUCUGAUUUGCUCUCUGGUUUCAGAGCUAGAGCUCCCCAUAGCUCACCAGACUUAAGUCUGCUGGUUGAAAUAGCAACAGAGGGCUUGGACUCCAAGGAAAAUAAAGAGCUGGGCAUGAAAAUGACCAGUGAGUAUCCUUUGGAAGGUUGCCCCUCGCCGUCUCCCCACCCUCGUCUCCAGCCUCCGCACUGAGUUCUCUUCCAUUAUAAACAAUCUUUCCCAUGUAGCUUUGGGGAACAUUAAAAAAAAGAAAGAACGGAGGAUGAAAACAAAACAUUAGAGGCUUAAUAAAUGGGCAUAAAGAUAAGAGGUGAAGAGGGAUACAAACUGCUCACAGAGCUGAAGGAUGCAUUAGAAUGAUCUCACUGUGAGACAACCAUGCAAAGAGAAGACGGGUUUAGUAAGGUUAGUAAUUAAUUUAUCAAUGCUACUGUGUCAGAAAGUAUAUAAAACAAAUGCACUCUGUAUUUUAAUGCACUGUUUAUUUUUUCUUACCUACUGACAAUACCAUUGGUUGGAUAGCUCAUGCCACUGCCAUGAAAACAGUACGCUUAUGUUGUUGGUGCAAUUUUUUCCUGCUUGAUCAAAAAAAGUGCAUGCUUUGAUAUAUGGAGAUGAAAACAAAUAUUGUGGUACUUAAUUGAUCUCUUGUUUGUUAAUCUUUUCUGUUGUACUUUUUUUGCCAUGUGAUGCAAAGCAGCAUUCAGUUUUGUUUCCAAAGCAGCAACUUGGAGGAGGAAGAGGAGGAGAGAGAAAUAUAAAGUUAAAGAGAAGCCACUGGGAGUUUAGAGCAGAGCGUUGUUUAUCCUCCGCUCGGGGGGGAACAAGAAAGAGUGAUAGAGGUGAGGAGAGAGAAGAAUAACAGCUAGUAUAAAGCUGGAUCAGGAUCACUGCAAAUGGACACAGACCCAAAGGACCCUCCCCCUCCUGAUAUGUGUGUGCAUGUGUGUGCACACACACACACACAAACACACUCCAUCAGGCACACACACUGCAACAUUAAGCCAUGUGUGUUUCCAGUUUAGGGGAUGAAGCACAUUUAGCUUUCUCUUGGUCAGCCCUAGCAUAUACUCCCUCCCCCAUCUGUGUUUAUCCUCCAAUAACCAUCGCAGACUUCUUCUUUUCUCUGCGUCACCUCUCCCUCGCUGUGCAGGGGAGGGGCCUUUGAUGUCCAGUUCUGAGGGACUCAGGGAGUGAUACGAAGGGGAGGGGGGGGGGGGGGGGGGCAGAAGCUGUGGGGUCAGGCCAAACCCAGUCUGAUAUCAACAAUGCACCAACGGCUCAACUACUGCCUGAUAUGAGAAAUGGCUAACAGCUGAGACACUUAACAAGCUCUGUUGAGGCUUCCCUUAGACAAUGCUGGCUGGAAAUCGCUAUCACACCUAAUCCUUUUUCUCUGGCUGUCACAUUAUGUGUCACAUUUUCUUUAUUCUGAGAGAAAGCACUGAUCUGAUAUAUUUUGUUGAACACUGUUACAGCAUACACUGAUCGAGACAGAUGUUCGUUGCACAAACAAAUACAGUAUGCUGAUGUAAAUGUGUAAAAUACUCUGUUGCUGUUCUGAUGUUGUUCCAAUGUAACAUACAGUAUACAGUAUAUUUGUUUUAAAAAAAAGAUGGUAUCACAGACACAUUGUACUUUGUGGAUGCAAAAUGUUUCAUGCUUUCCAUGCAGAUACAGAUGCUGUUUGUUAAUUGUCUUCAGAUAUAAUUAUGGGCCAAUACUGCUGUGACAGCUGUAGCCAAUGUUGUAUGUUCUUAAAGCACAGGGUUUAGUUGAAAAAAUAAUGAAUAUAAUAAAAUAUAGUGUGACAGUGCAGAUAUGCAAACGAUUGUAAUGUUUUAUAUUAACCUUCAUAAAAUAUUAAAGUGAGUUUUUACUUUUCUAAUAAAGUGGCACAUUGUAACGUGUGUUUGUCUUUUUCCUGUAG
rnacentral:lncRNA from 1 species